rnacentral:sRNA from 1 species
UUGGCAUUUGUUGAAACUGAAGCCCUAUAUUUAUCCAUAGAUUACUUUCAGGGGGCAGUGGUACAGCAGACUUCUCCACAGUGCCCUGCCAAUGAGCUUCAACCCUGAACUGAAGAGAAAACAUUUAACGGUGAGAAAGUAGUUUACUCUCCAUGACUUCAGUUCUUUCACUGGA